rnacentral:rRNA from 1 species
ACGGAAGGCAGCAGUGGGGAAUAUUGGGCAAUGGGGGAAACCCUGACCCAGCAACGCCGCGUGAAGGAAGAAGUCCUUCGGGUUGCAAACUUCUUUUACCAGGGACGAUAAUGACGGUACCUGGAGAAAAAGCAACGGCUAACUACGUGCCAGCAGCCGCGGUAAUACGUAGGUUGCAAGCGUUGUCCGGAUUUACUGGGUGUAAAGGGCGUGUAGGCGGUGCUGCAAGUCAGAUGUGAAAUCCCGGGGCUCAACCCCGGAACUGCAUUUGAAACUGUAGCCCUUGAGUAUCGGAGAGGCAAGCGGAAUUCCUAGUGUAGCGGUGAAAUGCGUAGAUAUUAGGAGGAACACCAGUGGCGAAGGCGGCUUGCUGGACGACAACUGACGCUGAGGCGCGAAAGCGUGGGGAGCAAACAGGAUUAGAUACCCUGGUA